UAUAAAAUCCCAAUUUUCCCCUUUCACUAACCCUAAACUCUCCAUUUCCCCCAAAUACUUCCCCAAGCUCUCCUUCUCGUCGGAUUUUCCCCAAGCUCUCCUUCUCGUCGGAUUUUCCCCAAGCUCUCCUUCUCGUCGGAUUUUCCCCAAGCUCUCCUUCUCGUCGGAUUUUCCCCAAGCUCUCCUUCUCGUCGGAUUUUCCCCAAGCUCUCCUUCUCGCCGGAUUUUCCCCAAGCUCUCCUUCUCGCCGGAUUUCCUCCAAGCUCUCCUUCUCGCCGGAUUUUCCGUAACUCUCCUUCUCGCUGGAGGUAAUGUUCUUAAUGUCUAGAUUUUCCCCAACCCUAAUGUUCUACUUCGAUCCUAAUCCAUCUGCCUCUCUUCUUCUCUUCGUUUUCAAUAUAAACACUAAUAUUCUACUUCGAUCCUAAUGGAUCUGCCUCUCUUCCUCUCGUCGUUUUUAAUAAACUUCUAAAAAACUCUAAUAUUCUACUCAUGGGUCUUCAUUCUUUAAAUAGAAGUGAUUGGGGUUCAUUCUGUAAAUGAUGAUCCUUUUCAAUGCUCUAGGUAGUCCAAAAUGAGAUUCAGCCUUUUACCUUUCUAAAUAUUUUUGUAAAUGUUCAGUAAAUGGAUUUCUGAAAAUUGAUUUUUAAUUUGUAAAUGUUCUUCUAAUCAGUUUCAGUAAAUGUUAUGAUAAUGGAUUUCUGUAAAUGGAUUUUUGUAAAUGUUUUUCCAAUCAAUUUAUAAAUAUUUUGUAAAUACUUAAAAAUGUUUCCGAUGAAUUUUACUUAGAAAGUAGUACUUUUCUAAUGUUUUUGUAAAUGUUUUGUAAAUGCCCUUCUUAGUAAAAAGAUAAUUAAUUUCUGUAAAUCUUCUGUAAAUGGAGAUUCUUCCAUUAUCUUGUUCUGUAAAUAGAACAAUAAGAUGUAAAUUGUAUGAAAUUUACAUAUAAUGUUCUUGUUUUACUUCUGUAAAAUUUACGUUAAAAUAACUAUGAAAUUUAGUUCUGCAAAUUUUUUAAAAUCAAAUUUAAAUUAAUUAUCUUUAUAAAAUUAUGAACUAUAAAAUUAAUUAUGUUUAUAAAUAUUUAUCAAUAUCAUUAUAAAUCAUGAUUUAGGAAGUCUAAACUGAUCAGUUUCAAUGUCUUAUGCAGGAACGGAUAGACAUCUACUGUUAUAAAUUUUUUUUAGCUUUUGUUAAGGUUAUUAUAACUUUUAGAGGUAUAGAGCUUUAACAUUUUGGAUAAAUUUUUAUCUGAUUUAUUUUGACUUGUUUUUAUUUUUACACUUAAGUUUCUUCAGUUUUGAUUUGCUUUUUUAUCCGAUUUAUUAAUGGAUUAAUUUUAUUGCUUGAGUUCAAUCUAAUGAUUUACAAUUCUCUAUUGCUAUUUAUUUUUAGGUUAGAAUUAUAUUUUUGAGGGAUGUGAUGUUGUAUACGGUCGAAUAAAAUUUCCCCACUAGCUAUGAAAGAAAAAAUCACAAGAUAAAGAAAAGAUAGAGAGUUGUAAUGCUCAUAUUGUAUUUUCUAAAAUUUUAGAUUAUUUUGUUGAUUAUUGAUUAAAUCUGUUUUUAGAUUAAAUUUUACAUAUUUUAUAUUUUCCUUAUUUUCAGAUCUUAUAUCUAUUUGCUUAUGUUAGAAUUAGUGUAUUAAUCAAUUUUUUCUUUUCAGAAUUUGCAUCGUCUCCUCCUGAGUAGCUAGCUUAUUUCAUAUGUACGUAUUUAGUUGAUUAUUUGAUCUUAAUCUUAUAUUCAGAUCAUUUUUAUGAUGUAAUUUACUUGAUUAAUUUCUUCACUUGAUAUUUGAUACUUUUCUAGUUCAUGGUGUUUGUUUGCUUAUUGUUUUAACCAAGGAUUCUUAUAACCUAGACAUGAUUUUAAAAUUGAUGAUUUUAAAAUUGAUGAUUUUAAAAUUAUAAAAUAUACAAAUUGAUUAUGUUGAUCGUAAAAAAACCCAAAGAUACAUGUUUUCUAUUUGAUUUGUUAAUAUUUCUUAUACAUGGUGUUUUUAUUUUUCAUGAUAUAUUUUUAUUGGAUCAAUAGAUCGAUGAUAUAGCAUGUAAUCUAAAAUUCAAUAAAGUCAUGACAAAAUUUAGUUUUUUUCGUAUAGACUCUAAAAUUAGGUCGAAAACCUUCAUUUCAAGAGGCAUUCUUGUCGACUCAUACGUCGUUAAAUGAUAGACGAAAAACUAUGAUGGUGAGUAAUCAUUUAUUAAUAUUUCAUAAUAUAUUUAUUUUUUCUUAAUUGUUUCAUAUUUAAUUUUCGUAAAGACCGAAUAUGAAAAUUUGAAUGAAGAACUUCGAAGACAAAAAGACAGUGAUUCUGAUAACGAUAGCGAAGACAAAAAUUUAUCGUCUCGAGGUUCAACUACAUUUCAUAUGAAGCCUCUGUUUAAUUAAAAACGAUCAUAUUGAACCUUGGCUGAAAGCAUCAAAGGGAAAGAAAAAUGUGCGCAUUCUGGGAUUUAGAGUUGGCAAUGACUCUAUGUUAUCAAAUAAGAGGAGAAACAAAAUGAGCAAUGAGUAAACUGAGAAGCACAACACUGAACAAUUUGAAUUGGCAGUUUCCAAAGCCAUUGAAAAACGAAUGAAAGCGUUCGAAAUAGAAAACGAAAAACGACUUAAAAUGAUAGAACAACGGUUAAUUGACAAUAUAGAUGUGAGUUUAAUAAAUGUUUUUAAAUUAGUUUUUAAAUUUAUUAAUUUUUGAAUAUCUUCAUUUAUUUUCAGACUAAUGCUACAAGCAACGACCUCAAUCGUCCAUCAUCGAGUAAUGUUCCUGCUUCUUCUCAGUUGAACCAACUUAUUCCAUUAUCGAGAAAUUAUUGGGAAGAAGAUACUACUUUGAAUUCGACACCUUGAUCAAAAGGUAAGACUUUAGAUAUUUCAAAUAUUGUUUAACAAAAAAAAUUGUAAAACACUUAACUUUAUUGUAAUUGAAACACUUAAUUCUAUUAUAAUUGUAACUGUAAUCUCUAUGUAACAUCAAUGUGUGUGAUUGUAAAACACUUAACUCUAUUUCUUUUUUGCUUAAUCUAAUUUGUGAUUUAAUAUGUGAG
rnacentral:lncRNA from 1 species